rnacentral:lncRNA from 1 species
AAAAUCUAUAAAAUAUUGCUGCUGAUCAAUACUAUAAGCUGAAAGCUUUAACUUGAGAACUUAAUAGACUAAAUUCUAUAAUUCGAAAUCUAAUAAGCAAUAGAAAUACUGAAAAAUCACACCAAAAAGGUACCCAAUGAAUAGCCUGAUUCAUGUACAAAGUAAUCUUGAUGUACAAGGUAGAGCCAUUCAAAUUUGAUAUUCUGAUAAUCUGGUCAUACGUACGUAGAACUGCUCCAAAGGCUAAUCACCCUAAUACACGGCCCAAAGCCUAUGUGUGUAUGAGAGUGGGUCCUAAAGAAAUCUAAUAAUCUAGUCAUACAUUAUGGAAACAUAUUAACAAUAGUGUAGAAUGGGUAAAAUCACCAUAACUAGUCCUGCACUGUGAAUACACACUCACACCAGUGCAGACUGGGGUAAAAUCAACUCUGAGUACUUUUUGGUGGUUUUAAAAAUAACUUUAGCUAUACUGAAACAGUUAUAUUCAAAUAACAUGAUAAUCAAAUGAUUUAAUUAAAUUGAAUUUAACCUUAAAAGUAACUGAUUAUAAAUCCACUUUAUUCUAAAAAUCAUGCUGUCAAAUCAACUGUAUGAAAUAAUAAAAUUUCUAAUUUAAGAUAAAUUUAAUAAAUAUUAAUUUUUGAAAAAUAAGUUUUUAUAUCCACUCACCAAGUUAUGGAUUGAUCAUGAUUUCAAUCUUCUCGUCAUAUCCUGAAUAUGAUACAAGAUAACGAAUUUAACAAUCACCCUACCAAGUAUUCUUAACUUUUAACUACGAAAUACUCAACUUCUCGACACUAGGAUAUAUUCUUUAAUUUCCUUCACAAUUGAAACUAAUUCUAUCUCUAGUCCUUUCAUUAAAGUCUAAUUCAUCAAAAUAAUCUUCACUCCAAAUAUAAAAAUAAUUCCUUCUUCCAAACUAGUAAAACUAAUAAUUAUAAUUUAACCAAUUUAAUUUUCCAUCUUGCUCCAUAAAUUCAUGCUUUCAAAUGAGUAUUUCAUCUCUACAAUUAUUCUUGUUAACUAUAUUCAUUCAAAAAUCCAAAUAAAAAUUCAAGGUUUUUUUUUCCCCCCAAAAUUGGUAUUUCAUACCUUAAUAUAAGUAGCCUUCCCAAUUCAAAAAUAUUGACUUGCAAACAUAUCCCUUCCUUCAAUCUGGAAAUUAAACUAAUAAAUCGCAACCCUAAAAAAAUUAAGCAUAAAACAUACCAAGAAAUUUGUCAAAUUGAAGAUGAAAUUGGAAUAGCCAAGCCUACCUUUUUUCCUUUCUUUCUUUUCUUCUUUCUCUCUUUCCUUUCUUUCUUCUCGAUUUUUCCAGCUUCUUUGCCCCGUUUCCAGAUUUUUGUAGGUAUAUAUCAAUUGAAAAUGGCUAAAUAGUUGAGCAUUUGACAAUUGUAAUCCACUAAUACCCUCAUUUGCAUUCAAGUCCUCCACUUCCAUAUAACAUCACAUUAAAUCCUUAACUUCCAUUGGAUAUAAAAUCUGACCACUUUACUUUCAAUAAUAUAUAAGUAAAUCUCCAAAAAUUAAUUUUUAUCCAUCUUAAACCUUAAAAUAUUGACAAUUUAUAAAAUAAACCCCAAUAAAAUAAUUUACUUCAUUAAAGUCCUCAUUUGACUUUGACUUUAAAAAUUCAACUCUUGACUUUUGACUAGAUAAAAUGGGUUGUAACAAUCUUACCUCCUUAAAAGAAUUUCGUUCUCGAAAUUCUAUCAACUAGAAUUCGAACAUAUAAAGGUAUAGAGCACACAUAAUGAAUAAUUUUUCUAGCAACCUUUAACUAGACAUAACUUCAUUCUUUCAUAUCUAGGCAUCUUAUCUAGCUAAGCUCUCUUUAACUCCAGUAGCAAUCUUAAAGCAUAAACUAAAUCUGAUAUAUACUUACAAAGCCUUAGAAAUAGACCAUACAUUAUUAAAUAUCAGAUAACCUCAUUGUAAACUUCAUCAUUAAACAAUUUGACCCAAGUUCCAAAUAAUAUCUCAAAGAUCAAUAUGUGAAAUUUUCAACUUUUCAUUUUAUUAUAUUUUAGAAAAAUUCAGCUAUUUCCCAAUUUGAAGUCCAAGAUACUAUUCUUAUACUCUUCAAAACUUCAUCUUAUGCCAUGAUUUGAAGUAUUCUCUAAUCAACUCCCUUUUAUAUAACAAUUGUUACAUACUAAGACCGAAUAACAUUCUUUCACCAAUGUCAUCACAAUAAAUGUCCUUAGAAUAUUUCACCCUCUAAGUAUAACCUUACAUAACAUCACUUGUAUCUAGUUCUAAUAUGUCAUCUCCAUGAAAAUAACUAAUUAUCCAAGUCCCCUUUAAUUAACAAACUAUAGUUGAUAACCUAACUUCUAAACUUGUCCUUAUAGUGUCUAACAUUCCAAGAAGCUACACAAUGUAAUUUAAUCAUAUAACUCCCUAAGUCAAAGAUAGAUACUCAAACUCCAUAUAAACAGAAAUCUUAUCUAAAUAUAAUUUAAUAAUUCUAUCUCAUGAACUGACUAUAUCAUUUGAAAAGAAUUCUUGUAUCCUUUAUCGAUCUAUCAACAAUGAUUCAAAUUCCAUUUUGUUUCCAUUCUGUACAUUCUGAAUCCCAAAUCGAAAAUGUUUGUGGGUAACUACUCCAAUUCUAAAUUAACAAUAUCUGCAAAAAUUUCAAUUAUUCAUGGUCUUCUAAAAUUCUAAUUAUCCCCAACAACAAUUGAGAUAGCUCAAUAUAAUGUUCUUUUCCUUUAAUUCCAUAUCACUCAAUGAUAACAUAUACACAACUUCAAUUUCUAACCCUUUUGAACACCAAUAUAACUUAAACUCCGGUAAUCGAUAAAUAUCGAUUUCUCAUAAUGUGAUAAUACCACAAUAAAUUCAAACCCAAUAUAACCAACAAUAAAACAUGUCUGAAUCAUACCUCUUUAACAAUCUAUAGUAAUAUCUAUAAUUCAUCAUUUACUUCAGCAUACUUUCUAAACCUUAAUAUAAUUCAUUAUCAUAAAUUAGGCCCUCAUCAACUUUAGAUACGAGAGUACAUAUUUCAUCAUAAUGUAAUCUGAUACAAAGCUUGUGGCAUUUCUAAACCCACACAAUUUUGGUGCUCUUUAUUUCUAUGAAAAUACAAUAAUAACAUUUAAUCCAUGAUAAUUCUUUACUCUUAUUCCAUAAAGAGGCCAUUGACCUAUUAUCAAUGCAUAAGCCUUCUUGUAUAUUGCACAAAGACCUACAAUUAAUAUUAUAAACUAAAGAUACCAUUCCACAGUUUAAUAAAAUUUAUGUUUGAUGAUCAUCUUAGACUUUAAACUAUCCAACACAUCCUCCAUAUGUUCCACAACCUAUAGAUCUCGAUAAGAAUGGAAUACUUUAUUCGAGAGAUCUAAAAAUACAAUUGAAAAUCUCCCAAACUUUACAUUACUAAAAAUUCAUUAAAUUCACCUUAACUUCCAAGUUUAGAUCGAAGCUUCUAGAUUGUAUGUAAUAUGACAUAAUAAUCCACAAAUGGCCUUGACAAAGUUAAUUAAUAACCCAAAUAUCUCAUCACAAUACUUGGCUAUAGGACGACCAUAACAUUUCUUCACUUGCUAAACACUAUAUCAUGCAAGUAUAACUUCAAACAUUUGAUUAUACCUAUUUCCUCAGGAUCACACAAAAAUAAUGCUCUUUAUAACUAUCAAGCAACAUUUCACAUAAUAAUAUACCAUCAAGAUUCCGUAUGCAAAUUUUUCAAUCACCAUAAUUUUCAACUAUGCCAUUCUUUACUUCAAUAAAUGAUUACUUUACUAUAACUCAAGAAUGAUGAUCCAUGUGCAUUUAUUCAACUCCUUCAUACAUUUUACGCAAUUAACAUAGAUAUACCGAUUCAAUAUUCUCUUUCGUAAACAACGAUUUACCCCCACAAUAAGCCGUCCUUGUGAAAUCUAUCCAUAUCUUUUUCACAUCUCUUAUAAUCAAAUAACCCGUAAUUAUUUAAAAUGAUCGGAAUCACAUAAAUGUCAAUUUCCUCAAUGAAUAACAUACACAAUAACACAUUAUUAUCUACCAAUCAAUAUUCAAUAUAAUAUCAUUAUUAACUCGCCACGAGACUCUUAUCAUAUAUAUAUAUAUAUAGAUACACACCACCAUAAUUUCUAUCAUCCCCCAUAUGAGUGGCAACCAAUUACUGUUGGUGUGAGUUGUAAAAUUAGAGUAAUUUGUGGCAAUAAUCUUCUAAUUAAAGUUGUAAUUAUAGUUGUCUACCUUAAUUAGUUGGAAGUAGCCAAAUAUAGAGGUCAUCCGGCUGCUAUAUGUAUCUCUAAAUUUCUGGUUAUUGUAUAUACAAGAAUUGCAGAAAAUAUAUUCCCUAAACUAUCAUGGUAUCAGAGCCAUGGAAAUCCGAUCACUAGACCAAUCAGUAUCAGCACCGGCUGAAUUUCCAAUUUCUCCUAGCCGGCUCCAAUACACACAGAAAAUCAAGAGGAGAUAGAAGCUGCCAACGACUGUCAUAAUAUAUAUAUACAUACACAAGGAAGUUGGGGAAAGGAGGAGAAUAAAGGGGCUGCCUGGGAUUGAAGAAAAAAGUCAAGAAUUGAGGCUACCAUUGGAGUCAAAAAUUGAGGCUGCCCUUGGAGUUUGGGCAGAUUAGAAGAGAAAACCAAAGCAGGUUGAUUUCUUCAAUUAAUAAAAUUGGAUUCCAAAGGCUGAAUAGAAUACGCAGGAAGCUAAUUGAAUGAAGGAUUGAAUUCUUUUCAGAAUCAAACAAGGAAGCUGACUGCUAUAUAUAUUCUUCUAUGCACAAAAAGGCUGGGAAUUGACUCAAGAUACACGUUUAAAACGGAUUUCCUGUGGGGGUUUAAAUUUGACAGCAGCUGAAUUGGUUGAUUGCAAACCCAAAAAUGAAAGACCAAUUAUUCUCCAUGGCCGACACUGACACAGACCCACCUAUCUCUUCCAGUCUGGAAGAGUUAACCAUGAAAAUGACUGAGAUCUUGACCGAAUCCUCAGUCCCGACCCCGACCACAGACUUUGUUGCUGAAGGGAUCAGCGAUAAGAUUGACGAAACUAGAACUGAUGAAGGUUCAGGUAUUGCUCUCUUCAGUUCUUAUAGAGAUGGUGACCGCAACACUUGGAUACUUGAUUCUGAAGCCACAGAUCAUAUGACAUUUGAUGCGAAUGAUUUCUCUCAGUGUUCCCCUCCACGACACACUAGUAUUGCCAAUGCCAAUGGGGUUAUUUCUUCAGUCACUGGGGUUGGCACUGUUUUAUUGUCGCCAACCUUAUCAUUACCCAAUACUUUACUUGUGCCAUCUCUUUCUCACAAAUUACUAUCUAUAAGUCAAAUUACCAUGGAUUUAAAUUGUGUGGUACUUAUUUACCCUACUUUUUGUCUUCUUCAGGAUAUUCUCACCAAGGAGAUUAUUGGCAUGGUACUAAGAGGGGGGGACUUUACUACAUGGACGACUUUGGCAUGGGUCGAGCACAUAACAUACACCAUCCAAGUGAUCUAAAAGCACAACAGAUUUGGCUUUGGCAUCGUCGGUUAGGCCAUCCUUCAUUUGCAUAUUUGAAACAUUUGCUACCUGAUUUAUUUUCGGACUUGUCAGUUUCAAACUUUACAUGUGAGGCUUGUAUUUUAGCUAAGAGUCAUCGAGCUACUUAUCCAUUAAGUACAAAUAAAAGUAUAGCUCCUUUCACUUUAAUUCACUUUGAUGUGUGGGGCCCUUCCCCAAAAUCUUUUACGUCUGGUUUCCGCUGGUUUGUGAUAGUUGUGGAUGACUGCACUCGAAUGACUAGGCUCUACUUGUUGAAAACCAAAGAUGAAGUUUUUCAUGUUUUUAAAUUAUUUCAUAACAUGGUUCGAACUCAAUUCUCUGCUAAAAUUCGAAUUUUGAGGUCAGAUAAUGGUGGAGAAUAUUUGAAUCAUUAUUUUCGAGAUUAUUUUCAACAAAAUGGUAUGAUCCAUGAGACAUCAUGCCCUCAAACGCCUCAACAAAAUGGUAUAGCUGAACAGAAAAAUCAUCACAUUCUAGAAACUACUCGUGCUCUUCUACUAAGUGCUCAUGUACCUAGCACCUAUUGGGCUGAUGCAGUUACCACAGCUGUCCACCUUAUUAAUCGGAUGCCUACUAAGGUUCUUGAUUUUCAGACUCCACUACAUGCCUUGUCGACAUUUGUCUCACUGCCCACAAUAUUGAUGCUUCCGCCUAGAAUCUUUGGGUGUGUUGUUUUUGUUCACCUCCACAAGAACCAACGCAUGAAAUUGGAUCCUUGUGCCAUUCGUUGCCUUUUCUUAGGAUAUGUUGUACAUCAAAAAGGAUAUCGGUGCUAUGAUCCCACUACCCGGCGUACUUAUGUGACAAUGGAUGUCACAUUUCUUGAAUCCGAGACUUUUUACUCUCCUGGAACAUCCAAUUCUCCUCUUCAGGGGGAGAUGAGUGGUAAAGAGCUGAAUUGGCUGAGAUUUAACUGGCCAGAAGCAAAUACAGGACCAUCAGUUAUCGAGGAACCUACUAUUGAACCAAUAGUAUCUCUGACUUCAUCUCCUACUAAGGAUAAUACAGGACCAUCAUUCAUCGAGGAACUUACUGCUGAACCGACAUCUCCCCACUCUCCGAUAUCUAACGACCCAUCUCCUGAGAAUAUCGUUGAGGUAAGCACACCAACCACACCUUUCAUUCCUAACAAUAUAGAUACUUCUGUUGGCUAUGAAUUACCUUUCAGGCACAAUCAUGGCAAACCACCAAACAGAUAUUCUCCUGAAAUCAAGGAUCAAAGGUCAAAAUAUCCAAUUGCCAAUUAUGUAUCUACGGAGAGGCUUUUUGAACCUCUCAAAAACUUUGCAAAUGAGCUCUCUUCAUGUCAUAUUCCAGCUAGUGUUGAUGAAGCUUUGAAAAAUCCUAGGUGGAUACGAGCUAUGAAAGAAAAGAUGGAAGCAUUGCUGAAAAAUGAGACAUGGGUUCUCAUGCUGUUACCUGAAGGACAAAAGACAGUGGGAUGCAAAUAGGUGUUCUCCAUCAAGUACAAAGCUGAUGGAUCAGUUGAGCGAUACAAAGCGAGACUGGUGGCGAAAGGCUAUACACAGACAUAUGGUAUAGACUAUCAAGAGACUUUCUCACUGGUGGCUAAGUUAAACACUGUUAGAGUUCUAUUAUCUUUAGCAGCGAAUCUUGAUUGGCCUUUACACCAAUUUGAUGUGAAAAGUGCUUUUCUCCAUGGCGAUCUUAAAGAGGAAAUUUACAUGGACAUUCCCCCAGGAUAUAUGGCAACCUCAGAGAAUAUGGUUGUAUGCAAACUGCAACGGACUUUAUACGGAUUAAAACAAUCUCCUUGAGCAUGGUUUGGACGAUUGAGCUUGGCAAUGAGGAAAUAUGGAUUCCAUCAGAGCAAUUCCGACCACACACUUUUUUUGAAGCAUCGACGAGGCAAGACCACAGCUCUGAUAGUCUAUGUAGACGAUAUGAUUAUUAUAGGAGAUGAUUCAGAAGAAAUAUCAUGUCUUCAGAAGCAAUUGGCAGCUGAAUUUGAGAUGAAAAACUUGGGAGGACUCAAAUAUUUUCUGGGAAUUGAAGUUGCUAGAUCUAAGGGAGGUAUAUUCCUUUCCCAACGAAAAUAUGUCCUAGAUUUAUUAUCAGAAGUUGGACUUCUGGAGUGUAAACCUGCAGAUAUACCAAUAAUCCAAAAUCACAAACUUGGAGAAUAUUCAAAUCAAGUGCCAAUAGACAAAGGCAGGUAUCAAAGAUUGGUCGGUAAGCUAAUUUAUCUCUCACAUACACGACCCGAUAUUGCUUAUGCAGUAAGUGUCGUAAGCCAAUUCAUGCAUUGUCCAAGUGAAGAUCCUAUGAAUGCAGUUAUUCAAAUUCUUCGAUACCUGAAAUCCUCUCCUGGAAAGGGACUUAUGUUUUUUGAAGAAGAAUCACUUAAGGGUUGAAGGUUAUACGGAUGCCGAUUAGGCAGGAAAUAUUACAGAUAGAAAAUUCACCUCAGGAUAUUUCACAUUUGUUGGAGGAAACCUUGUUACAUGGAGGAGUAAGAAAUAGAAAUUAGUGGCAUUAUCAAGUGCUGAAACUGAAUUUCGUGGGAUGGCUAAGGGCCUUUGUGAACUUCUUUGGCUUAGGAGAUUAUUAACAGAGAUUGGCUUCACUCAAGAUUGUGAGAUGAGUCUCUUUUGUGACAACAAGGCUGCUAUUGAUAUUUCUCGUAAUCCCGUCCAGCAUGAUCGAACCAAACAUGUGGAAGUAGAUCGACAUUUUAUCAGAUAGAACCUUGAGGCGAAGAUAAUUCGACUUUCAUUUGUUAAGUCUGAAGAUCAGUUGGUGGAUAUACUCACAAAAGCUGUAUGUAGCAAGAACUUCUACAACUCACUUGACAAGUUGGGUAUCAGAGAUUUAUAUGUACCAACUUGAGGGGGAGUGUUGGUGUGAGUUGUAAAAUUAGAGUAAUUUGUGGCAAUAAUCUUCUAAUUAAAGUUGUAAUUAUAGCUGUCUACCUUAAUUAGUUGGAAGUAGCCAAAUAUAGAGGUCAUCCGGCUGCUAUAUGUAUCUCUAAAUUUCUGGUUAUUGUAUAUACAAGAAUUGUAGAAAAUAUAUUCCCUAAACUAUCAAUUACCAUAAUCUCCGACGAUAGUAAUGAUCAUUUAGUUUUUCAAAGAUAAUUAAGAUUUCUCAUAUAAUUGUCAUCAAUUACACAUAAUAUCAUUCCAUUUUGUUUAUCAUGCAAAUUAUAACUGAGACUUUCCCAUAUCUACAUUAAAAAAAAUCAAAUAAUCUCGCAUGUAAUUCAAUAUUUAGGCAACUCCAUUCCUUCGAAUGCAUAUAGAUAGAUAACCUUCAAAAUUAUUAAAACUCUAAUUCCAAAUUGAUAUAUGUCCGCUGUUACACUCUUAUUGAGUACUAGAUCACAUACACCUCUGUACCAACCCAACAGCUUAUAAAAUUGUCAACCAUUAAAUCCCUACACCUGAUAUACUUAUAUACUAGUCAUUUCUGAAUUGUAAGAAACAUUUUCUCUUUUUUGAUUCAUCAUAACUUAUUUUCAUACACUCAAACCGAGUAAUUAAACCCUUAGUAUUUCCUUCUAUAGUAGUUGAAGUACAGACCUAGAUACUUAAUCGUUCUUGAAUCAAUAGGGAAGGAACCAUAGUCCCAUUAAUUUACUCAAAAUCAUCAAGUAAAACAUAUUUAAUAACACCAUUUUCGUCAUGAAUCGACAUUCCAUAUGGUUUCAUUAUUUUUGUCAUGAACAAGAUUUCUUGAUAAAUCUCCACAUCUUGAUAUUCUAAUACAUGCAUUUUCUUCCAUACACUAAAUAUGAUUACAAAUUCCCACAAUGAUUCACAUAAUACCACAAACUUUUAGAUUUACAAAGCAAUCAUGAUUCACUUUUAAUGUCACCAAUUAUACAUAUAUCAACAUUAGACAAUACUUAUCAUCCAAGGCAUCUAAAGGACAUUCCCUCUAAUAAUCACAAAAGAAACUCAUAACCCAAUCAAUCUCCUUACUAAGAAAAGUUAUACUCUUCACUUAACUAUCUAUUGGAUAUAUAGCACAAUUAUUAAUAUAUUAGAGAAAAUAUAACAUGGCGCCAACAUGACAACUCUAACAACUCUCAUUACCAUCGGAUAAUUUUCAAUAACAUCCUCAUAUUUAUUAUGCCCAAAUCAAUAAAGAUCCUUCUAGUUUCUUAGCUGGCAUACCUUCGUUAUUAAUGGCAAUAUGAGUUUCAAAUACCACAUUGGAGCCUGUGAGUUCUGCCACCAUGCCACGGCUAAUCAUCUCAAUGACAUACUAUUCUGAAAAAGAAACUCAUUAAUUACUCGAGCUUAACAACCACUGAACCAUGUUCUGAUACCAACCGAGUGGACUUGACAUGUGUCGUGCGCUGAUGGUAGAUACCAACUGAACAUUGGACCUACCAUUAUGGCAACCUUGAAUUGCUUGACUAAAAAUUAUUUUUAAUAGAAUUUUGACAGAGUUUCCCUGAAAUACGAACGAAAACCACUUGAACAAUUACCAAUUUUCCUCAAAUCAAUACAUAUAAUAUAACACAAGGUACACCAGCUCCUCAAAAUCCAAACUGUUCAAAUAGAAUACUCGUAAAUCGAUAAUAACUUUGCCCUACAACCAAAGGUCCCCUAACGUACUAAAGAUAUCAAAUAAUAAUCUGAUAAAGUAGACCAUACAACUAUUGACGUGUGGCUCAAUUAGGUGAAUUGAUAGGCUCCAAGACUGCUCAACUCUACUACUAUCUGGUCAGAAAAAGGGUGGCAAAACAUGAGCUUGUAACUCAGUGAGUGGAUGAUUUGCAAAUAAGUAUACUUUUCUCAUUUAUGCAUAUUUUCUGAAAUUCUUGCUCUAUUGAAACUUUAAGAAAUUCUAAAAUUUGGUAACACUUUUUACAAUCAAACAUUAAUACAUCAUAAAAUUUUUGGUUCUUCAUUCUAGAUAAGUAACUGAAAAAUGUGACCAAUAUAAAUAAUAUGACAUUCGUGAAAAUCUAUGAAAUAUUGCUGCUGAUCAAUACUAUAAGCUGAAAAUUUUAAUUUGAGAACUGAAUAGACUGAAUUCUAUAAUCUGAAAUCUAAUAAGCUGUAUAAAUACUGAAAAAUCACACAAAAAAGGUACCAAAUGAAUAGCCUUACUCUUGUACAGAGUAAUCUUGAUGUACAAGGUAGAGCCAUUCAAAUCUGAUAUUCUAAUAAUCUGAUCAUACGUACGUAGAACUGCCCCAAAGGCUAAUUACUCUAAUACACGGCCCAAAGCCUAUGUGUGUACGAGAGUGGAUCCUAAAGACCUCUGAUAAUCUAAUCAUACACUAUGGAAACAUAUGAAUAAUAGUGCAUAACGGGUAAAAUCAUCAUAACUAGUCCUACACUGUGAAACCACAUUCACACCAGUGCAAACUGUGGUAAAAUCACUUGAGUACUUUCUGGUGGUUUUAAAAAUGACUUUAGCUAUACUAAAAUAGUUAUAUUCAAAUAACAUGCUAAUCAAAUGAUUUAAUUAAAUUGAAUUUAACCUUAAAAGUAACUGAUUAUAAAUUCACUUUAUUCUAAAAAU